CUUAUAAACACAUCUGUGAGUGCACUAAGCUUUCACUGCGAAGAUAAAUAAUACAAUCAGGUCUCAUCAAUAAGAGCUUGAUAGGAUAACUGAUACAAUUUACAUAGGAAAGAGGAACAAUGUUUAGAAGUCAUGAUAUUCGCUGUUUAGUUUCAUUAGCAGCCAUUUGGUUGACUGAUGUGUGUUAUAACACAGCAAUCGUAGGGCUUCAAUAAUCGAAUUAAUUUAGUUUAUAAGUUUUGAUAACAAGUUUUUUAGCGAAUAACGGUAAAACAUUGUAGAAAUACUCUGAGUCAUAAUAAAUUAUCAGUCAAAGCUACUAUACUGGCA